GGCUCAAAUCACUAGGUGGAGUUGGCAUAUGCUGGGUGGGGGGGUGUGGCUGUGUGCAUCAUACCUUUUUUUCUUUUCUUUUUUUUCUUCAUAUAUAUAUAUAAUUCCAUUUUCAUUAUGGCUGCACAACAAAUAUAAAUAAAUAUGUUUUAUUAAUGCGAUAGCGUUAUCGCGAAGGCUACCAUUACCGUUAACAGAGUCCAUAGACGCUGAAGAAGGACGCAAAGAUCGAGGACGUGCGAAGAAAUCUCAACUAUUAAAUUGGGGAUGAUAUUUAUAUGAAUGUAUCUGAAUAUUCAUCAGAAAAGUUUAGAUGGCAUUUUUUCAUUUUACCUCCGUAUAAUGCUCAUGGUGCCAUGGUCUUUAGAAGCACUUUGUUUACAGUGGUAACUAAGGAAACACUAUAUUGCCAACACUGUUCCCUAAAUGCCACCUGCUGUCAGAGUUUUUGUCAGCUGUUUUUGUUUCGUCCUGAUUUUUUAAGUAGCAUAAUUUUACAAAGCUAAAAGUAAGACCAUUCUCAUUAUUCUGAAAUAAACAAAUAAAAUAAAUUAAUAAAAAUAAAAUACAUUUUGCUUCAAAUGUAGAAAUUAUACAUUACAAUUUAAAUAUAAAACUGCUCUUGCUACAUGUAGCAUCUUUGUUUGGAUUAUGGUCCAGAUUUUACAGUUCAGCCUGUAAUAGAGCAAAUAAACAUCUUGUUCAUGUACACAUAUUUCCAUUCUUUCUUGUCUCUUUGAUAAAUUACUAAUUUUAAGAAUGUUUGAAUCGAAGAAAUCAAGACAUAUAUAUUAGUAUUGCAAUUUUACUUCAAAUAUUAAAAUAACUGAUUAAAUAUUGCAGCAUAGCAUUGGAUGAUAACACUUUAUCAUUAAGUCAACUACUAACUAGUUGACUUAAUGUCAGUUUUUUUUUUUUUUUUUUUUUUGAAUGAUCGGUGGAGGAAUUGGCUGUGAUGCAAGGGCAAUGCAGCUAAAAUCUUGCCUAGGGCACCAAGUUGGUCAAGGCCAGCCCUGAUUUGUAGUCUUUAACUAAGUAAUUGAAUUUCUAAAAAAUCUUUAAGUAGUACAGGGAUCCUCAAAUCUGGCCCCAGAGAUCCACUUUCCUACAAAGUUUAGCUCUAAUCAUAAUCAAACACACCUGAGCAAGCUAAUCAGGAUCUUUAGGAUCUUCAGGUCUUCAGGAUCAUUAGAAAAUCACAGGUAGUUGAGUUUGAUCAGGGCUGGAAAUAAACUCUGCAGUGCAUUGGCCCUCCGGGGCCAGAUUUGAGGAACGCUGCCUAGCACUACGCUGCCUAAACUGUCCAAAAUUUACGUUAAUAAUAAGGGCUAGAAAGAUUUUUUUUUUUUUUUCUGAUUUCUUUUGCUUAAGAUGACUCGAUUUGUACCCUAAUAUGUCAUGAAGACCAGUGGUUUUCAACCUGUGGGCCGCGGCACCCUAGUAUGUCGCGAUGGUAUUGCAGGGUCAACAUAAAUGGCUGUUCCCUCUUGACUGCUUGCUCGGCUGACUGUCUACCUGCUGACUGUCUACCUGCAAAAAGUACCCAGCUAUUUAAAUGGGGUCCAGCAGCUACGCUAAUGGACAUCCCCUUGUCCCUUGUACAAUGCUGAUGUUGAUGAAUACGUGCCCAAAUUGAAGUGUUCACUGGGAGCUGAUGAGAUGGGUGCAGCCUGCUCAACGGUAAUUCUAGUUUCCUGCCAUGAGACAAGCCGGGGAUACCCCAGUGGUGACAUGUUGGGUAGCACGAUAAAGCUAACCACAGAACUUUUUUCAGAUGUUUUACCAAAAACCCAUUCAAAAAAACUAUAAAUUACAAACUUACUUCUUAUAGUACUCUACUCGAGUCUUGUAUUCUCUACUAAUGACCAGAUGAGAUUACUCAUGUGAGAUAUAUGGGGAACCGUGUGUACUGAUGGGACAUCAGGACAGGUUUAGGAAGCAGUGUUUUUCGGUUAUUUCUAUAUUAACAUAACCAUGCCUCAUAUUGAUCAUAUACUUUAGUUUUUGGCCGCACAUAAACAGGUUUUGGUCUAUGAAAAACAUUAAGGAAACAGGUAAAAAAAAAAAGAUUUUGUAAUUCUGAUUAUAUUCUGUGGUGAUUUUCUUUGUUGCUAAAACAUUUAACUGCUGAGCUUGUGUUUUCUCAGAGUAUGUUUUGAUUACCGGAAGGCGUAAUGUUGUUCUCUGCCAUUCAGCUAAUGAUACUGGAAACAUACAAGAACUUACUUCUCUUUACUUUCAACUUUGCAUUUUUGCUCAAAUUUUUUACAACUUUUAUUAUUGUUAUUAUUUAAGUGGAUAUA